AGUGAAGCGGCAACAGCUCAGAUUUGAAAUCUGGCCCCCUUCGGGGUCCGAGUUGUAAUCUGUAGAGGAUGCUUUUGGCGACGCGCCUUCCGAGUCCCCUGGAACGGGGCGCCAGAGAGGGUGAGAGCCCCGUAUGGUUGGACGCCGAACCUCUGUAAAGCUCCUUCGACGAGUCGAGUAGUUUGGGAAUGCUGCUCAAAAUGGGAGGUAAAUUUCUUCUAAAGCUAAAUACCGGCCAGAGACCGAUAGCGCACAAGUAGAGUGAUCGAAAGAUGAAAAGCACUUUGAAAAGAGGGUUAAAUAGCACGUGAAAUUGCUGAAAGGGAAGCGUUUGUGACCAGACUUGUGCCCGGUUGAUCAUCCAGCGUUCUCGCUGGUGCACUCUGCCGGGCUCAGGCCAGCAUCGGCUCUCCCAGGGGGAUAAAGGUCGUGGGAACGUAGCUCUCUUCGGGGAGUGUUAUAGCCCGUGGCGGAAUACCUCUAGGGGGGGCCGAGGCCCGCGUUCGCAAGGAUGCUGGCGUAAUGGUCACCAGCGACCCGUCUUGAAACACGGACCAAGGAGUCAAGCAUUAGGGCGAGUCUUUGGGUGUAAAACCCGCAGGCGCAAUGAAAGUGAACGGAGGUGAGAGCUUCGGCGCAUCAUCGACCGAUCCUGAUGUUCUCGGAUGGAUUUGAGUAAGAGCCUUACCGCUUGGACCCGAAAGAUGGUGAACUAUGCCUGAAUAGGGUGAAGCCAGAGGAAACUCUGGUGGAGGCUCGCAGCGGUUCUGACGUGCAAAUCGAUCGUCAAAUUUGGGCAUGGGGGCGAAAGACUAAUCGAACCAUCUAGUAGCUGGUUACCGCCGAAGUUUCCCUCAGGAUAGCAGUGUUGUCUUCAGUUUUAUGAGGUAAAGCGAAUGAUUAGGGACUC
rnacentral:rRNA from 1 species